AUUGAACGCUGGCGGCAGGCCUAACACAUGCAAGUCGAGCGGAUGAAGGGAGCUUGCUCCUGGAUUCAGCGGCGGACGGGUGAGUAAUGCCUAGGAAUCUGCCUGGUAGUGGGGGAUAACGUCCGGAAACGGGCGCUAAUACCGCAUACGUCCUGAGGGAGAAAGUGGGGGAUCUUCGGACCUCACGCUAUCAGAUGAGCCUAGGUCGGAUUAGCUAGUUGGUGGGGUAAAGGCCUACCAAGGCGACGAUCCGUAACUGGUCUGAGAGGAUGAUCAGUCACACUGGAACUGAGACACGGUCCAGACUCCUACGGGAGGCAGCAGUGGGGAAUAUUGGACAAUGGGCGAAAGCCUGGUCCAGCCAUGCCGCGUGUGUGAAGAAGGUCUUCGGAUUGUAAAGCACUUUAAGUUGAGGAAGGGCAGUAAGUUAAUACCUUGCUGUUUUGACGUUACCAACAGAAUAAGCACCGGCUAACUUCGUG
rnacentral:rRNA from 1 species